CAACUACUCCCUCUGUCCCAAAUUUCUUGUCUUAGAUUUGUCUAGAUACGGAUGUAUCUAAUACUAAAAUGUGACUUGAUACAUCCGUAUCUAGACAAAUCUAAGACAAGAAUUUUGGGACAGAGGGAGUACUUU
rfam:Triticum aestivum genome assembly, contig: Triticum_aestivum_CS42_TGACv1_scaffold_001569_1AL